UUUGGAGGGCAAUCUGGUGCCAGCAGCCGCGGUAAUUCCAGCUCCAAUAGCGUAUAUUAAAGUUGUUGCAGUUAAAAAGCUCGUAGUUGAAUUUCGGGAUCAGCACGUUGGUCGUGCCACUGGUAUGUACUGGCUUUGCUGAUUCCUCCUUCCUGAAGAACCGUACAUGCCAUUAAUUUGGUGUGGCGGGAAAACAGGACUGUUACUUUGAAAAAAUUAGAGU
rnacentral:rRNA from 1 species